rnacentral:sRNA from 1 species
CUUCUGCCAGCUGAGGGCAUAUGAAGUGGACAUGACAAUCUAUACCACCAGCAGUUACAAUCAUACCUUGAGCAGCAAUAACUUCCGUAUUCACCUGUAAAUGAUUUAAGCAUGCAAUUUCUUUUAAAUGUACUCCAUACCCUUUUUCUUUAGUAAAACAAUAAAAAAUGCAGGUAUGCCGUUACCCCCACAAUCAUGUUGCUAUGCACACCAUCCAUGACAUCGGGGUUUCCAGCUUUCCCAAUGGCAAUAAUAAGUCCAUCUUUUAUACCAAUAUCAGCCUUGUAUAUUCCUGUAUAGUCAAUCACGACAGCAUUUGUUAUAACUGUAUCUAGGCAGGCAGAUGCUGGAUACCCUGCAGAUUGUCCCAUUCCAUCGCGAAG